GUCCCUGCAGAGCAAGGGAUAACAUGUUGGAUUUCUAAUCCAAAGGGAGAGGGCUCGAAUCCCUCCUGGGAUG